rnacentral:tRNA from 1 species
GGGGAUAUAGCUCAGUUGGUAGAGUGCUUGCUUGGUAUGCACAAGGCCCUGGGUUCAAUCCCCAGCACCACCC